AGUGAACGCUGGCGGUAGGCCUAACACAUGCAAGUCGAACGGCAGCACAGUAAGAGCUUGCUCUUACGGGUGGCGAGUGGGGGACGGGUGAGGAAUGCAACGGAAUCUACUUUUUGGUGGGGGUUAACGUAGGGAAACUUAAGCUAAUACCGCAUACGACCUUCGGGUGAAAGCAGUGGAUCUUCGGACCUUGCGCGAUUGAAUGCGCCGAUGUCGGAUUAGAUAGUGGGCGGGGUAAAGGCCCACCAAGGCGGCGAUCCGUAGCUGGUCUGAGAGGAUGGUCGGCCACAUUGGAACUGGGCCACGGUCCAUGCUCCUACGGGAGGGCCCAGUGGGGAAUAUUGGACAAUGGGGGCAAGCCUGGUCCAGCCAUACCGCGUGGGUGGAGAAGGCCUUCGGGUUGUAAAGCCCUUUUGUUGGGAAAGAAAAGCAGCCGGUUAAUACCCCGCUGUUCUGACGGUACCCAAAGAAUAAGCACCGGCUAACUUCGUG
rnacentral:rRNA from 1 species